rnacentral:rRNA from 1 species
ACGAACGCUGGCGGCGUGCUUAACACCUGCAAGUCGAACGCUGAAGCUCAGCUUUUGUUGGGUGGAUGAGUGGCGAACGGGUGAGUAACACGUGAGUAACCUGCCUCCUUCUUUGGGAUAACGCCCGGAAACGGGUGCUAAUACUGGAUAUUCACUGGUCUUCGCAUGGGGGUUGGUGGAAAGGGUUUUUCUGGUGGGGGAUGGGCUCGCGGCCUAUCAGCUUGUUGGUGGGGUGAUGGCCUACCAAGGCUUUGACGGGUAGCCGGCCUGAGAGGGUGACCGGGCACAUUGGGGCUGAGAUACGGCCCAGACUCCUACGGGAGGCAGCAGUGGGGAAUAUUGCACAAUGGGCGCAAGCCUGAUGCAGCGACGCCGCGUGAGGGAUGGAGGCCUUCGGGUUGUGAACCUCUUUCGCUCAUGGUCAAGCCGCAACAAUGGUUGUGGUGAGGGUAGUGGGUAAAGAAGCGCCGGCUAACUACGUG